UCCCUGGUCGCUCAGAGGUUAAAGCAUCUGCCUGCAAUGCACGAGACUCGGGUUCGAUCCCUGGGUUGGGAA
rnacentral:tRNA from 1 species